rnacentral:rRNA from 1 species
GAUCAAGCUACAAAGGGCGCACGGUGAAUGCCCUGGCACUAGGAGCCGAUGAAGGACGUGAUAAGCUGCGAUAAGCUUCGAGUAGGUGCAAAUAACCUGUGAUUCGAAGAUGUCCGAAUGGGGAAACCCGGCAGGCUAACGCCUGUCACUAUAUGCUGAAUACAUAGGUAUAUAGAGGUAGACUCGGGGAACUGAAACAUCUAAGUACCCGAAGGAAGAGAAAGAAAAAUCGAUUUCCUGAGUAGCGGCGAGCGAAACGGAAAGAGCCCAAACCAGGAACUUGUUCCUGGGGUUGAGGAUAGAACAUAACGCUUUGAUUUUCUUAGCCAAAUAUAACUGGAAAGUUAAGCCGCAGAAGGUAAUAGCCCUGUAGGCGAAAAGAAAAGAAAAGUAGUUCUACUCCAGAGUACCACGAGACACGAGAAACCUUGUGGGAAGCAGGGAGGACCAUCUCCCAAGGCUAAAUACUACCUAGUGACCGAUAGUGAAGCAGUACCGUGAGGGAAAGGUGAAAAGAACCCCGGAAGGGGAGUGAAAUAGAACCUGAAACCGUGUGCCUACAAACGGUCGGAGCACUUUAUAUGUGUGACGGCGUGCUUUUUGUAGAACGAGCCAGCGAGUUACGAUAUACAGCAAGGUUAAGCACUUAAGGUGUGGAGCCGAAGGGAAACCGAGUCUGAAUAGGGCAACUAGUUGUAUGUCGUAGACCCGAAACCGAGUGACCUAUCCAUGGCCAGGUUGAAGCGAAAGUAAAAUUUCGUGGAGGACCGAACCACGUUGGUGUUGAAAAACCAUGGGAUGAGCUGUGGAUAGCGGAGAAAUUCCAAUCGAACUCGGAGAUAGCUGGUUCUCCUCGAAAUAGCUUUAGGGCUAGCGUCGGGUAAUUAAGUAGUGGAGGUAGAGCACUGAAUGGGCUAGGGGGCAUAGCGCUUACCGAACCCUAUCAAACUCCGAAUGCCAUAUACUUGUAUCCCGGCAGUCAGGCUGCGAGUGAUAAGAUCCGUGGCCAAAAGGGAAACAGCCCAGACCAUCAGCUAAGGUCCCAAAGUGUAAGUUAAGUGGGAAAGGAUGUGGGAUUUCUAAGACAACUAGGAUGUUGGCUUAGAAGCAGCCACUCAUUUAAAGAGUGCGUAAUAGCUCACUAGUCGAGAGAUCCUGCGCCGAAGAUGUACCGGGGCUAAAACUUACCACCGAAGCUAUGGAUGUACACUACGUGUACGUGGUAGAGGAGCUUUCUACACAGGCUGAAGCCAUACCGUAAGGAGUGGUGGACAGUGUAGAAGUGAGAAUGCUGGCAUAAGUAGCGAGAAACAGGUGAGAAUCCUGUUGGCCGAAUAUCUAAGGUUUCCUGGGGAAGGCUCGUCCUCCCAGGGUUAGUCGGGACCUAAGCCGAGGCCGAAAGGCGUAGGUGAUGGACAACUGGUUGAUAUUCCAGUACCACCAAUAUGCGUUUGACAGAUGGGAUGACGCAGGAGGAUAGGAUGUGCACACUAUUGGAUGUGUGUUCAAGCACUUAGGAGGACUAGACAGGAAAAUCCGUUUAGUCAUAACUCUGAGGUGUGAUGAGGAGCCAAUUGAGGCGAAGUAUCUGAUUCCACGCUGCCAAGAAAAGUCUCUAUGGAGUAUGUUGGUGCCCGUACCGCAAACCGACACAGGUAGAUGAGGAGAGAAUCCUAAGGCCGGCGGAAGAAUUACUGCUAAGGAACUCGGCAAAUUGACCCCGUAACUUAGGGAGAAGGGGUGCCUACGAGAGUAGGCCGCAGUGAACAGGCCCAAGCAACUGUUUAUCAAAAACACAGGUCUCUGCUAAAGCGUAAGCUGAUGUAUAGGGGCUGACGCCUGCCCGGUGCUGGAAGGUUAAGGGGAAUGGUUAGUCUUCGGGCGAAGCCAAGAACUUAAGCCCCAGUAAACGGCGGCCGUAACUAUAACGGUCCUAAGGUAGCGAAAUUCCUUGUCGGGUAAGUUCCGACCCGCACGAAUGGCGUAAUGAUUUGGGCACUGUCUCGGCAGUAAAUCCGGUGAAAUUGAAGUGUGAGUGAAGAUGCUCACUACCCGCGGUUGGACGGAAAGACCCCGUAGAGCUUUACUGUAGCUUAGCAUUGAAUUUCGGUAUUGUCUGUACAGGAUAGGUGGGAGACUGAGAAUCAGGGGCGUCAGCUUCUGAGGAGUCGACCUUGGGAUACCACCCUGACAGUAUUGGAAUUCUAACUGGCGGCCAUGAAUCUGGUCACAGGACAUUGCUAGGUGGGCAGUUUGACUGGGGCGGUCGCCUCCUAAAAGGUAACGGAGGCGCCCAAAGGUUCCCUCAGCGCGGUCGGAAAUCGCGCGAAGAGUGUAAAGGCAGAAGGGAGCCUGACUGCGAGACAUACAGGUCGAGCAGGGACGAAAGUCGGGCUUAGUGAUCCGGUGGUUCUGAAUGGAAGGGCCAUCGCUCAACGGAUAAAAGCUACCUCGGGGAUAACAGGCUGAUCUCCCCAAGAGUCCACAUCGACGGGGAGGUUUGGCACCUCGAUGUCGGCUCGUCGCAUCCUGGGGCUGUAGUCGGUCCCAAGGGUUGGGCUGUUCGCCCAUUAAAGCGGCACGCGAGCUGGGUUCAGAACGUCGUGAGACAGUUCGGUCCCUAUCCGCCGUGGGCGCAGGAAAUUUGAGAGGAGCUGUCCUUAGUACGAGAGGACCGGGAUGGACCAACCUCUGGUGCACCAGUUGUCACGCCAGUGGCACAGCUGGGUAGCUAUGUUGGGAAGGGAUAAACGCUGAAAGCAUCUAAGCGUGAAGCCCACCUCAAGAUUAGAUUUCCCAUAGCGUAAGCUAGUAAGACCCCUGGAAGACUACCAGGUUGAUAGGUCAGAGGUGUAAGCGUGGUAACAUGUUAAGCUGACUGAUACUAAUAGGUCGAGGGCUUGAUCAA